rnacentral:rRNA from 1 species
UGGGGAAUUUUGGACAAUGGGGGCAACCCUGAUCCAGCAAUGCCGCGUGUGUGAAGAAGGCCUUCGGGUUGUAAAGCACUUUUGUCCGGAAAGAAAACGUCGUGGUUAAUACCCGUGGCGGCUGACGGUACCGGAAGAAUAAGCACCGGCUAACUACGUGCCAGCAGCCGCGGUAAUACGUAGGGUGCAAGCGUUAAUCGGAAUUACUGGGCGUAAAGCGUGCGCAGGCGGUCCGCUAAGACAGAUGUGAAAUCCCCGGGCUUAACCUGGGAACUGCAUUUGUGACUGGCGGGCUAGAGUAUGGCAGAGGGGGGUAGAAUUCCACGUGUAGCAGUGAAAUGCGUAGAGAUGUGGAGGAAUACCGAUGGCGAAGGCAGCCCCCUGGGCCAAUACUGACGCUCAUGCACGAAAGCGUGGGGAGCAAAUAGGAUUCAGAUACCCUGGUAGUCCACGCCCUAAACGAUGUNAACUAGUUGUUGGGGAUUCAUUCCUUAGGUAACGUAGCUAACGCGUGAAGUUGACCGCCUGGGGAGUACGGUGCGCAA